rnacentral:tRNA from 2 species
GCUCGGUUGGUGUAGUCCGGCCAAUCAUGUUGGCCUUUCGACAGCCGACGACCAGGGUUCAAAUCCCUGACCGAGCA